rnacentral:misc_RNA from 1 species
CAAAAAGGAGGCUGAUGUAAGGUACAAGGUAGGAGAUAUGGGCGUGCAGCAAGCAGAGCCUCGUUUGGAGCCCAAGAAGCACAGAAGACAGUCUCGCAAAAGGAUCAACCAAUCAAUCCUGGAUGAGUUGGAUGAACUGGAUGAUGACGACAACUCACUAGAUGAAGAAAAUGAUCCUUUCUUGAGAGCACUAAGGAAUGAAAAUCAGUAGGAAGUUUAAAAAGUGUCACAGGGUACAUCGAAAAUAAUUAGCUUUUUGACCCCCCUUUCUCGUCGCAGAGAUUGAGCUCAGUUUGUAUAUAUCAGAAUCUGAGGUUAACGAGCACUGCUCUAAGCUUCAUCUAUUCCAUGAUUGGCAGCUAUUUAGAGUUGUCUCACGUCUAACAUGAAUGAUUGUCAUGCUUGAUUGCUAAUACAGAGGUUGUGACCUAAAUGUUGCUUACACAGACAGGCGGGCCNNNNNNCAGUUGAACCGCUUUCUGUGCGAGCAUAUAAAGAAGGUUUAUGAACACUAUUCAGAUGCUUAAGGAAUGUCGUCUUCUGUCUCUGUUAUUGAAUGAAUCUACAUUACCCCUUAAAGAAGAAAC